AUUGAACGCUGGCGGCAUGCUUUACACAUGCAAGUCGAACGGUAACAGGUUAAGCUGACGAGUGGCGAACGGGGGAGUAAUGCAUCGGAACGUGCCCGGUCGUGGGGGAUAACGCAGCGAAAGCUGCGCUAAUACCGCAUACGAGCUAAGGAUGAAAGAGGGGGAACGUACGGCCCCGGGCGAUCGGAGCGGCCGGUGUCAGAUUAGGUAGUUGGGGGGGGAAAGGCUCACCAAGCCAAAGAUCUGUAGCUGGUCUGAGAGGACGACCAGCCACACUGGGACUGAGACACGGCCCAGACUCCUACGGUAGGCAGCAGUGGGGAAUUUUGGACAAUGGGCGAAAGCCUGAUCCAGCAAUGCCGCGUGCAGGAAGAAGGCCUUCGGGUUGUAAACUGCUUUUGUACGGAGCGAAAAGGUCUCCUCUAAUACAGGGGGCUCAUGACGGUACCGUAAGAAUAAGCACCGGCUAACUACGUGCCAGCCGCCGCCGUAA
rnacentral:rRNA from 1 species